CAGCAGCCGCGGUAAUACGGAAGGUCCGGGCGUUAUCCGGAUUUAUUGGGUUUAAAGGGAGCGUAGGCCGCCCCUUAAGCGUGUUGUGAAAUGCGGGUGCUCAACAUCCGACUUGCAGCGCGAACUGGGGGGCUUGAGUGCGCCGAAAGUAGGCGGAAUUCGUGGUGUAGCGGUGAAAUGCUUAGAUAUCACGAAGAACUCCGAUUGCGAAGGCAGCUUACUGUAGCGCAACUGACGCUGAUGCUCGAAAGCGUGGGGCGCAAACAGGAUUAGAUACCCCAGUAGUCCCUGUCUCUUAUAC
rnacentral:rRNA from 1 species